UUUUCUUCUGCUGAAAAGCUAAUUUAUUCUGAGCUCUUGGUUUUUUUUGUUCAUGUGCCUAAUGUAUGUUUUGAGGAGAAGUUAACUGCAAGUUGUUAAAGCGCCUUUUGAUUCUGCCAUCAAACCAAAUAGCCACAGGCAGCCAGCACUGGUGCAAGUAGCCUAGCUGGAGUCAUUGUUGAACGUGAAUGCAGCUGUCCCAUAGCACUUGUACAGGAGUCUCUGUUGAAAGUGCAACAACUUUCUACAGAUUCGAGGGCUGGAAUCUGACCCCUGGUUGUACUGACACUUGUGUGCUUUGUAGAGCUGUGAACUGAUAUUCCUUUGGUCUUGCUCCGAGUGGGCUGUGUCCACGCUGGUGUAUGGCCUUGUUCCGAGCUGUGGAGGAUGCGAAGGAAUCUGGAGAGACUGCCGCUUCUUUCUGCUCUCAACCCUCUCUCCCUGCUCCCCUCCAUUUUCAAGCUUUCUAAAGGGCAAUAUUUCAACACUAAUGUUGUUUCUCAGACCAUCAGCCCAGGCCCUCGGCGCUCGGCCACGGUCCCAGAGCGGGUGCGGGACCUGCACCAGGGCCUUUGUGCUGCAGGGUGUGCAGUGGUGGCUCUGGACCCAGGGGAGCGUGUGGCUGCCAGAUGGGAAUAUGUGGAUGGGCUGCUCCUGCCCCCUGCCCAGCGAGGAUGAGGAUGGAGCAAGGCAGGAGGAGGAUGGGCUGCUGCUCCCAGCUGCUGAAGGGGAAACCUCUGUCCCUGGUGUGUCAUCUGUAGGUGACCCCCUGGGCUAGGAGAGCUGCUCCAGCUGCCGUGGCUGCAGGCACCAUGCCUGUGGCUGCUGGGCUGCCCAGUCUCAGGUCAAAGGGGGUGCAAAAUGCUUUAGUGGUCCAGCGUGUCCUCUCAGCUGAAGAACAGGGAAGAAUGGAAGACAAUGGGGUUGGAGCUCUCCGAGGGCAUUUCCACUGCAGACUGUGAUCCUCCUGCUCCAUCAAGCCCUCGGAUUGGUGCAGCAGGGGCUGGGUCAAGCUUCACAAACUCACCUUUCAACACAGUUUUUGAUUCGCAAGGUUUCUU
rnacentral:lncRNA from 1 species